rnacentral:tRNA from 1 species
GGUGGCACAGUGGUUAAGAGCUAUGGUUGCUAACCAAAAGGUUGGUGGUUCAAAUCCACCAGCCA